UACAGAGGUCUCAACCGUUGUUCGGAUUCAUUGGGCGUAAAGGGUGCGUAGGCGGUCGUGUAAGUCGGAUGUGAAAUCCCGGGGCUCAACCCCGGAACUGCAUUCGAUACUGCAUGGCUAGGGUACUGGAGAGGAGACUGGAAUUUACGGUGUAGCAGUGAAAUGCGUAGAUAUCGUAAGGAAGACCAGUGGCGAAGGCGAGUCUCUGGACAGUUACCGACGCUGAGGCACGAAGGUCAGGGGAGCAAACGGG
rnacentral:rRNA from 1 species